GUACACGCUGUGACUAGCAUAUCAAUAAGCGGAGGAAAAGAAACUAACAAGGAUUCCCCUAGUAACGGCGAGUGGAGCGGGAAGAGCUCAAAUUUGAAAUCUUAAAGGGUUUCCCUUUACGAAUUGUAGUUUAAAGAAGUGUUUUCUGUUGAGGUUUUGGUAAAAGUUCUUUGGAAUAGGACAUCAUAGAGGGUGAGAAUCCCGUAUUUGACCUUUACUUUCAACUAUGUGAUACACUUUCAAAGAGUCGGAUUGUUUGGGAAUGCAGUCCAAAAUGGGUGGUAAAUUUCAUCUAAAGCUAAAUAUUGGCGAGAGACCGAUAGCGAACAAGUACCGUGAGGGAAAGAUGAAAAGAACUUUGAAAAGAGAGUUAAACAGUACGUGAAAUUGUCAAAAGGGAAGCGUUUGACACCAGUGUUGUUUUUCUGAAAAUCAAUUAAAGAACUGUUUAUGCUAAGCUGUUUAGACUUUAUCAGCUAACUGUUUAGUUUUGAGCUUUUCUUUAAUGCACUUUUCAGUUAACAAGUCAACAUCAAUUUCUUUUGCUGUAAAAAAGCUUGAGGAAGGUGGCUUGAGAUUCGUCUUAAGUGUUUAUAGCCUCUUGCCUAUGCAGUCGGAGAGAUUGAGGUCUGCAGCGUAGAUCCUUCGGGGCUAAAUGCAUUUGUGCUAAGUUAUAGCAUUUUAUAGACAACUUGUUGACUAUGAUUUGUCUUGUAGCUUACUCGCUUAUGUUAUUUUACCUACGCUUAGGAUGUUGAGUCGUAGAGCACGCAG
rnacentral:rRNA from 1 species